rnacentral:misc_RNA from 1 species
GAUGAAGAACGCAGCGAAAUGCGAUAAGUAGUGUGAAUUGCAGAAUUCAGUGAAUCAUCGAAUCUUUGAACGCACAUUGCGCCCCUCGGUAUUCCGUGGGGCAUGCCUGUUCGAGCGUCAUUUAACCCCUCAAGCCUAGCUUGGUAUUGGGUGCUUGUCCCGCCUCUUGCGCGGCGACUCACCUCAAAGUCAUUGGCAGCCCGCAUCUCGCCGGCCGUGAGCGCAGCACAGACGCGCUCUUGGCAACGACGGAUCGGCUCUCCAAAAGCUUAUUUCGACCACUGACCUCGGAUCAGGUAGGGAUACCCGCUGAACUUAAGCAUAUCAAUAAGCGGAGGA